AUGGAUGAGGCAAGUCUUUUGUCUCCGUUUCAACAACAACAACAACAAAAACCACUUGGCAUAUUUGCUUUUGCAAUUUGUUCUUCGUUGGAUCUCCUGGCCGUUACUGAAGAAUGGUCUAACAGAGUCUGCAGCACAGCUGUAGCUUGGAAACUUAAGAUGCACUUUGCGCAUAAAACUUCCAACACUUUCAACAUUCAGCAGCAGCUGUUUCUCAUGGUGACAUCGAUUCUAAUGGGCCCGGAGGACCGGGUUGAGGACACCCUGCUGGAUGGUGCCCUGGUGCGUGGGCUCCAGUGCCUUGAGGGCCUGGGUUCCCGUGUUUCACCUGCAGCUUCUACCUCCUCUGCUGCUGUUGCUUGCUCCAAGAUUGCUUGCUCUGCUGCUGUCCCCGUUGGUGAUCAUACUGAGCUGGGACUUGCAAAUGAUGCCCUGUGUUUCCCAAUGGAAUUCGGUGGACAAAUGUUGGUCGUCAUCAAGGGACAAAACUUCUUCUGGGUUUUAAGAUUCGAAGCCGAGAGCUUCAUGCUUUUACAUUUGAAGAGCAUCGGCAACAAUGCCAUCUUCAUUGGUCAUCAUAGGUGCCUUGCUGUGGACGAUGAUAUGUUCCCAUCAAUCGAGGCAAAAUUGCUCCUUGGAUUCUAUGAUUCACCCCUUGUACUCUUUCCUUUUGUGCUCAUUGCUGCAGAAUGGGAGUUCAGAAUAGUAGCUGCAACUUGGAACAUAGUCCAGACUGACCACUUUGUGAGAGUGAUCCAUGGAAUGGCCCUACUACUGGGGGGCUUGGUGACUUCUUCGGGUCCUGAUUCGCUCAACCGGUGGCCUGUGGAAAUGUUGUAUGUCAUGGCCAGGGAGGGAUCAGAACAGGUUUGUUCUCUGUGGAUUUCUGGGCUGUUACUGAAGCAUGGUUUAACACAGUUUGUAGCACACUUGGCCUUACAUCUGUUUUACUUGUAUACGUACAGAGCUAGUCCAAGCAACACAUUUAAAAUGAUCAUGGAGUUGAAUGUUGGAGCUGUUCUGAUAAAGAUGAAGUGGUACAUAUGGGAAGAGAACAAGGAUAAUUUGGCAGCCGAGGGAGCUAAAAGCAGGGUUCCUAAUCCCUACGGGGAAUUUUGGAUGCCACUUAAAAUCCACGGGAAGCCCUCCACCAUUUGGUUGCACGAGAAUAUCCCCGUCCAGCAAAAAAAGAGAGGAAACAACAAGAAAAUUGAACACGACCUAAAGCAACAACUUAGGCUUUUGUUACUUAACCUAAAUGGCCGAAAAAAAUAUAAAGGGAAAGUUAAAAUAACGACCAAACAGGAAGGCUCAGCCCGUCUCGGCGAGAUAGAGACAGAGAGAGGAGGAGGACAUUCUCAAAAAAGAGAGAGAGAGAGAGGAGGAGGAGGAAGGAAGGCCUACCCUACCACUACGGCACUACCUCUCCGCCGCCGUCACUGCCACUGCCACCACUCCUCUUCCACUGCUCGAAACGAGAGCUCCCAGCCGGCGGCCAUGGCGGAUCCUCCUGCUCUCCUCCCUGGCCUCCCCGAUGAGAUCUCCAUCUGGGAGAUCCUCCUCCGCCUGCCCCCAAAAUCCCUCCUCCGCUGCCGCGCCUGGCGAGGCGCCACCUCCACCCGCGACUUCCUCCUCGCCCACCACGCCCGCCAGCCCACCCUCCCCGUCCUCCGUGGCUACAACAACGUCAACGGCCUGUCCCUGGAUGUCACCCUCUUGGACCACCGGGCGGGGGUCGCCGCCGCCGACCGGCUCCAGUCCGUCGCGCUGGAGAGCUCCUGCGACGACCUCCUUGCCCUCUCCAUCGACCACAACUACUUUUGCAUCUACAACCCAGCAACACUCCACUACCGGCGACUACCGACUAUUGCUCUGGCACCUAAGGCUAAACCUCAGGAUGGCGCCUACAUCUACACGUUAGGCUCCAGCCAGCCGCCUAGGCGCCUAGACAUACCGUGCCCCCAUGUGGACCAAGUGAUAUGGGCCUCCGGGUUUAUCAUGUUCCAUGGUAGCCUCCAUUGGUGCAUAGACACCAUGAUAAUUGCAUUUGACACCACCACCGAGUCGUUCCGGCAGAUGCGCAUUCCGGUUUAUCCUGACGGCGCUGACCUGUUUGAGAUGGAUGGAAUGCUCAGCAUGUCCAUCUUCAAUGAUGCAACGACAUCCAUUGAUAUCUGGAUGACACGGGACUAUGAAAGUGAGAUCUGGGCCUUAAAAUACCAGGUUGAAUUGCCGGUUGCAGAGCUUACCAAUCAGUUUGGAAAAUUCGACGAACUUUGGUGGCUGGUUGUCAUGUCUUCGGAAGGUGAUGUGCUUGUGCUGGUCAAAUUUGGUGAGUGGGUACUUCAGAUUGACGUCGAUGGAAAGUUGGUUGCUAGUAUACAGUGCGGAGACCUCGGUCCUACUCGACUUUGA
rnacentral:rRNA from 1 species